rnacentral:tRNA from 1 species
GCUGUUAUAGCUCAGUGGUAGAGCACUUCCUUGGUAAGGAAGAGGUCCUGGGUUCAAAUCCCAGUAACAGCUC